AUACGGAGGGUGCGAGCGUUAAUCGGAAUUACUGGGCGUAAAGCGUACGUAGGCGGUUGGUUAAGUUAGAUGUGAAAGCCCCGGGCUUAACCUGGGAACUGCAUUUAAAACUGGCGAACUAGAGUUGAGUAGAGGGGAGUGGAAUUUCAGGUGUAGCGGUGAAAUGCGUAGAGAUCAGAAGGAACACCAGUGGCGAAGGCGACUCCCUGGACUCGAACUGACGCUGAGGUACGAAAGCGUGGGUAGCAAACGGGAUUAGAUACCCGUGUAGUCC
rnacentral:rRNA from 1 species